rnacentral:rRNA from 1 species
GGACGAACGCUGGCGGCGUGCCUAAUACAUGCAAGUCGAACGAACUCUGGUAUCGAUUGGUGCUUGCAUCAUGAUUUACAUUUGAGUGAGUGGCGAACUGGUGAGUAACACGUGGGAAACCUGCCCAGAAGCGGGGGAUAACACCUGGAAACAGAUGCUAAUACCGCAUAACAACUUGGACCGCAUGGUCCGAGUUUGAAAGAUGGCUUCGGCUAUCACUUUUGGAUGGUCCCGCGGCGUAUUAGCUAGAUGGUGGGGUAACGGCUCACCAUGGCAAUGAUACGUAGCCGACCUGAGAGGGUAAUCGGCCACAUUGGGACUGAGACACGGCCCAAACUCCUACGGGAGGCAGCAGUAGGGAAUCUUCCACAAUGGACGAAAGUCUGAUGGAGCAACGCCGCGUGAGUGAAGAAGGGUUUCGGCUCGUAAAACUCUGUUGUUAAAGAAGAACAUAUCUGAGAGUAACUGUUCAGGUAUUGACGGUGUUUAACCAGAAAGCCACGGCUGACUACGUGCCAGCAGCCGCGGUAAUACGUAGGUGGCAAGCGUUGUCCGGAUUUAUUGGGCGUAAAGCGAGCGCAGGCGGGUUUUUUAAGUCUGAUGUGAAAGCCUUCGGCUCAACCGAAGAAGUGCAUCGGAAACUAGGAAACUUGAGUGCAGAAGAGGACAGUGGAACUCCAUGUGUAGCGGUGAAUGCGUAGAUAUAUGGAAGAACACCAGUGGCGAAGGCGGCUGUCUGGUCUGUAACUGACGCUGAGGCUCGAAAGUAUGGGUAGCAAACAGGAUUAGAUACCCUGGUAGUCCAUACCGUAAACGAUGAAUGCUAAGUGUUGGAGGGUUUCCGCCCUUCAGUGCUGCAGCUAACGCAUUAAGCAUUCCGCCUGGGGAGUACGGCCGCAAGGCUGAAACUCAAAGGAAUUGACGGGGGCCCGCACAAGCGGUGGAGCAUGUGGUUUAAUUCGAAGCUACGCGAAGAACCUUACCAGGUCUUGACAUACUAUGCAAAUCUAAGAGAUUAGACGUUCCCUUCGGGGACAUGGAUACAGGUGGUGCAUGGUUGUCGUCAGCUCGUGUCGUGAGAUGUUGGGUUAAGUCCCGCAACGAGCGCAACCCUUAUUAUCAGUUGCCAGCAUUAAGUUGGGCACUCUGGUGAGACUGCCGGUGACAAACCGGAGGAAGGUGGGGAUGACGUCAAAUCAUCAUGCCCCUUAUGACCUGGGCUACACACGUGCUACAAUGGAUGGUACAACGAGUUGCGAACUCGCGAGAGUAAGCUAAUCUCUUAAAGCCAUUCUCAGUUCGGAUUGUAGGCUGCAACUCGCCUACAUGAAGUCGGAAUCGCUAGUAAUCGCGGAUCAGCAUGCCGCGGUGAAUACGUUCCCGGGCCUUG